rnacentral:rRNA from 1 species
GAUGAACGCUGGCGGCGUGCUUAGCACAUGCAAGUCGAACGGUGAACGAGGGAGCUUGCUCCCUCCGGAUCAGUGGCGAACGGGUGAGUAACACGUGAGCAAUCUGCCCCGAACUCUGGGAUAAGCGCUGGAAACGGCGUCUAAUACCGGAUACGACGCGCGAAGGCAUCUUCUGCGCGUGGAUAGAAUUUCGGUUCGGGAUGAGCUCGCGGCCUAUCAGCUAGUUGGUGAGGUAACGGCUCACCAAGGCGACGACGGGUAGCCGGCCUGAGAGGGUGACCGGCCACACUGGGACUGAGACACGGCCCAGACUCCUACGGGAGGCAGCAGUGGGGAAUUUUGGACAAUGGGCGAAAGCCUGAUCCAGCCAUGCCGCGUGCGGGAAGAAGGCCUUCGGGUUGUAAACCGCUUUUGUCAGGGAAGAAAUCCUUUGAGCUAGUACCUCGGGGGGAUGACGGUACCUGAAGAAUAAGCACCGGCUAACUAC